AUUGAACGCUGGCGGCAGGCCUAACACAUGCAAGUCGAGCGAGCGGCGGACGGGUGAGUAAUGUCUGGGAAACUGCCUGAUAGCGGGGGAUAACUGCUGGAAACGGUAUCUAAUACCGCAUACCAUCAGCUGUGCGCAGAGGGGAUUAGCUAGUAGGUGGGGUAACGGCUCACCUAGGCGACGCUCCCUAGCUGGUCUGAGAGGAUGACCAGCCACACUGGGACUGAGACACGGUCCAGACUCCUACGGGAGGCAGCAGUGGGGAAUAUUGGACAAUGGGCGCAAGCCUGAUGCAGCCAUGCCGCGUGUGUGAAGAAGGCCUUCGGGUUGUAAAGCACUUUCAGCGGGGAGGCGGUACCCGCAGAAGAAGCACCGGCUAACUCCGUGCCAGCAGCCGCGGUAAUAC
rnacentral:rRNA from 1 species